rnacentral:rRNA from 1 species
CAUGCAAGUCGAACGGUAACAGGAAGCAGCUUGCUGCUUUGCUGACGAGUGGCGGACGGGUGAGUAAUGUCUGGGAAACUGCCUGAUGGAGGGGGAUAACUACUGGAAACGGUGGCUAAUACCGCAUAACGUCGCAAGACCAAAGAGGGGGACCUUCGGGCCUCUUGCCAUCAGAUGUGCCCAGAUGGGAUUAGCUUGUUGGUGAGGUAACGGCUCACCAAGGCGACGAUCCCUAGCUGGUCUGAGAGGAUGACCAGCCACACUGGAACUGAGACACGGUCCAGACUCCUACGGGAGGCAGCAGUGGGGAAUAUUGCACAAUGGGCGCAAGCCUGAUGCAGCCAUGCCGCGUGUAUGAAGAAGGCCUUCGGGUUGUAAAGUACUUUCAGCGGGGAGGAAGGUGUUGUGGUUAAUAACCGCAGCAAUUGACGUUACCCGCAGAAGAAGCACCGGCUAACUCCGUGCCAGCAGCCGCGGUAAUACGGAGGGUGCAAGCGUUAAUCGGAAUUACUGGGCGUAAAGCGCACGCAGGCGGUCUGUCAAGUCGGAUGUGAAAUCCCCGGGCUCAACCUGGGAACUGCAUUCGAAACUGGCAGGCUUGAGUCUUGUAGAGGGGGGUAGAAUUCCAGGUGUAGCGGUGAAAUGCGUAGAGAUCUGGAGGAAUACCGGUGGCGAAGGCGGCCCCCUGGACAAAGACUGACGCUCAGGUGCGAAAGCGUGGGGAGCAAACAGGAUUAGAUACCCUGGUAGUCCACGCCGUAAACGAUGUCUACUUGGAGGUUGUGCCCUUGAGGCGUGGCUUCCGGAGCUAACGCGUUAAGUAGACCGCCUGGGGAGUACGGCCGCAAGGUUAAAACUCAAAUGAAUUGACGGGGGCCCGCACAAGCGGUGGAGCAUGUGGUUUAAUUCGAUGCAACGCGAAGAACCUUACCUGGUCUUGACAUCCACAGAAGAAUCCAGAGAUGGAUUUGUGCCUUCGGGAACUGUGAGACAGGUGCUGCAUGGCUGUCGUCAGCUCGUGUUGUGAAAUGUUGGGUUAAGUCCCGCAACGAGCGCAACCCUUAUCCUUUGUUGCCAGCGAUUAGGUCGGGAACUCAAAGGAGACUGCCAGUGAUAAACUGGAGGAAGGUGGGGAUGACGUCAAGUCAUCAUGGCCCUUACGACCAGGGCUACACACGUGCUACAAUGGCGCAUACAAAGAGAAGCGACCUCGCGAGAGCAAGCGGACCUCAUAAAGUGCGUCGUAGUCCGGAUUGGAGUCUGCAACUCGACUCCAUGAAGUCGGAAUCGCUAGUAAUCGUGGAUCAGAAUGCCACGGUGAAUACGUUCCCGGGCCUUGUACACACCGCCCGUCACACCAUGGGAGUGGGUUGCAAAAGAAGUAGGUAGCUUAACCUUCGGGAGGGCGCUUACCACUUUGUGAUUCAUGACUGGGGUGAAGUCGUAACAAGGUAACCGUAGGGGAACCUGCGGUUGGAUCACCUCCUUACCUUAAAGAA